AUUGAACGCUGGCGGCAGGCCUAACACAUGCAAGUCGAGCGGAUGAAGGGAGCUUGCUCCUGGAUUCAGCGGCGGACGGGUGAGUAAUGCCUAGGAAUCUGCCUGGUAGUGGGGGAUAACGUCCGGAAACGGGCGCUAAUACCGCAUACGUCCUGGGGGAGAAAGGGGGGGAUCUUCGGACCUCACGCUAUCAGAUGAGCCUAGGUCGGAUUAGCUAGUUGGUGGGGUAAAGGCCUACCAAGGCGACGAUCCGUAACUGGUCUGAGAGGAUGAUCAGUCACACUGGAACUGAGACACGGUCCAGACUCCUACGGGAGGCAGCAGUGGGGAAUAUUGGACAAUGGGCGAAAGCCUGAUCCAGCCAUGCCGCGUGUGUGAAGAAGGUCUUCGGAUUGUAAAGCACUUUAAGUUGGGAGGAAGGGCAGUAAGUUAAUACCUUGCUGUUUUGACGUUACCAACAGAAUAAGCACCGGCUAACUUCGUG
rnacentral:rRNA from 1 species